rnacentral:rRNA from 1 species
CGUAGGGUGCGAGCGUUAAUCGGAAUUACUGGGCGUAAAGCGUGCGCAGGCGGUUUUGUAAGACAGGCGUGAAAUUCCCGGGCUCAACCUGGGAACUGCGUUUGUGACUGCAAGGCUAGAGUAUGGCAGAGGGGGGUGGAAUUCCACGUGUAGCAGUGAAAUGCGUAGAGAUGUGGAGGAACACCGAUGGCGAAGGCAGCCCCCUGGGCCAAUACUGACGCUCAUGCACGAAAGCGUGGGUAGCAAACAGGAUUAGAUACCCUGGUAGUCCACGCCCUAAACGAUGUCAACUAGGUGUUGGGUGGGUAAAACCAUUUAGUACCGGAGCUAACGCGUGAAGUUGACCGCCUGGGGAGUACGGCCGCAAGGUUA